rnacentral:rRNA from 1 species
CGUAAGGCGCCGAAUGAGUCAUUAAAAAAUUAACAUCAUCCGAUCCCUAGUCGGCAUAGUUUAUGGUUAAGACUACGACGGUAUCUGAUCGUCUUCGAUCCCCUAACUUUCGUUCUUGAUUAAUGAAAACAUCCUUGGCAAAAUGCUUUUCGCAGUAGUUAGUCUUCAAUAAAUCCAAAGAAUUUCACCUCUGACAAUUGAAUACUAAUGCCCCCAACUAUCCCUAUUAAUCAUUACGUCAAUCCUAGAAACCAAACAAAAUAGGAUCGAACGUCCUAUUUCAUUAUUCCAUGCUAAUGUAUUCAAGCGUAGCUGCUUUAAACACUCUAAUUUUUUCAAAGUAACAGUCAGAUUCCUGCAACACCAAAUUAAUGGACAUU